GGGCUUGACAUCCCACGAACCUGCCUGAAAGGGCGGGGUGCCCGCAAGGGAGCGUGGAGACAGGUGGUGCAUGGCUGUCGUCAGCUCGUGUCGUGAGAUGUUGGGUUAAGUCCCGCAACGAGCGCAACCCUCACCCCUAGUUGCCACCGGGUAAUGCCGAGCACUCGAGGGGAACUGCCAGCGUCAAGCUGGAGGAAGGCGGGGAUGACGUCAAGUCAUCAUGCCCCUUACGUCCUGGGCUACACACGUGCUACAAUGGCCGGUACAAAGGGAUGCGGGACCGCGAGGUGGAGCUAAUCCCAAAAAGCUGGUCUAAGUUCAGAUUGCAGUCUGCAACUCGACUGCAUGAAGGAGGAAUCGCUAGUAAUCGCGCAUCAGCCCGGCGCGGUGAAUACGUUCCCGGGCCUUGUACACACCGCCCGUCACACCACGAAAGCUUACUGUACUCGAAGUCGCUGAG
rnacentral:rRNA from 1 species